rnacentral:lncRNA from 1 species
AAACAUGUACAAGGAAAAAGAUAUUUACUAAAAGCAAAAUAAGGAAAAACAAACACACACAUCUGGCGUGUGUGUGUGUGUCGCCCCAAGCAGGAGAAAAAGAGGAGAAACCCUAAAAUCCUUGAAGUUGCAAAAUUGAGAAGGGAAAUUGAAGCUAAUCAUAUGCAUGAAUCUGAAUGUGCAACCAUUUAAGCCUACUAAUCAAGUGGCAUAGGGAUCAUGUGGAAAUGGACUCAAGAACGGAAGGUUAACGGGUCAAGCGGAGGCGAGGAAGCAAGCAUGAACACUAACGCUCGAGGUAAGUGAUUCUAAUUUCACUUUUUAGCUUGUUUAAAUAAGGUAUUGUUCUAGAUAAUUGAGUAUGUUACGAAGUCAAACAUGGAUUUGGUUGAAUGAAAACGAUGGUUCUCGCUAAGUAGAUCGAAUGUGUCAAAUGAAGUUUUGUUGUCAUAA